rnacentral:rRNA from 1 species
UUAAGCGACUAAGCGUACACGGUGGAUGCCCUGGCAGUCAGAGGCGAUGAAGGACGUGCUAAUCUGCGAUAAGCGUCGGUAAGGUGAUAUGAACCGUUAUAACCGGCGAUUUCCGAAUGGGGAAACCCAGUGUGUUUCGACACACUAUCAUUAACUGAAUCCAUAGGUUAAUGAGGCGAACCGGGGGAACUGAAACAUCUAAGUACCCCGAGGAAAAGAAAUCAACCGAGAUUCCCCCAGUAGCGGCGAGCGAACGGGGAGCAGCCCAGAGCCUGAAUCAGUGUGUGUGUUAGUGGAAGCGUCUGGAAAGGCGCGCGAUACAGGGUGACAGCCCGUACACAAAAAUGCACAUGCUGUGAGCUCGAUGAGUAGGGCGGGACACGUGGUAUCCUGUCUGAAUAUGGGGGGACCAUCCUCCAAGGCUAAAUACUCCUGACUGACCGAUAGUGAACCAGUACCGUGAGGGAAAGGCGAAAAGAACCCCGGCGAGGGGAGUGAAAAAGAACCUGAAACCGUGUACGUACAAGCAGUGGGAGCACGCUUAGGCGUGUGACUGCGUACCUUUUGUAUAAUGGGUCAGCGACUUAUAUUCUGUAGCAAGGUUAACCGAAUAGGGGAGCCGAAGGGAAACCGAGUCUUAACUGGGCGUUAAGUUGCAGGGUAUAGACCCGAAACCCGGUGAUCUAGCCAUGGGCAGGUUGAAGGUUGGGUAACACUAACUGGAGGACCGAACCGACUAAUGUUGAAAAAUUAGCGGAUGACUUGUGGCUGGGGGUGAAAGGCCAAUCAAACCGGGAGAUAGCUGGUUCUCCCCGAAAGCUAUUUAGGUAGCGCCUCGUGAACUCAUCUCCGGGGGUAGAGCACUGUUUCGGCAAGGGGGUCAUCCCGACUUACCAACCCGAUGCAAACUGCGAAUACCGGAGAAUGUUAUCACGGGAGACACACGGCGGGUGCUAACGUCCGUCGUGAAGAGGGAAACAACCCAGACCGCCAGCUAAGGUCCCAAAGUCAUGGUUAAGUGGGAAACGAUGUGGGAAGGCCCAGACAGCCAGGAUGUUGGCUUAGAAGCAGCCAUCAUUUAAAGAAAGCGUAAUAGCUCACUGGUCGAGUCGGCCUGCGCGGAAGAUGUAACGGGGCUAAACCAUGCACCGAAGCUGCGGCAGCGACACUGUGUGUUGUUGGGUAGGGGAGCGUUCUGUAAGCCUGUGAAGGUGUACUGUGAGGUAUGCUGGAGGUAUCAGAAGUGCGAAUGCUGACAUAAGUAACGAUAAAGCGGGUGAAAAGCCCGCUCGCCGGAAGACCAAGGGUUCCUGUCCAACGUUAAUCGGGGCAGGGUGAGUCGACCCCUAAGGCGAGGCCGAAAGGCGUAGUCGAUGGGAAACAGGUUAAUAUUCCUGUACUUGGUGUUACUGCGAAGGGGGGACGGAGAAGGCUAUGUUGGCCGGGCGACGGUUGUCCCGGUUUAAGCGUGUAGGCUGGUUUUCCAGGCAAAUCCGGAAAAUCAAGGCUGAGGCGUGAUGACGAGGCACUACGGUGCUGAAGCAACAAAUGCCCUGCUUCCAGGAAAAGCCUCUAAGCAUCAGGUAACAUCAAAUCGUACCCCAAACCGACACAGGUGGUCAGGUAGAGAAUACCAAGGCGCUUGAGAGAACUCGGGUGAAGGAACUAGGCAAAAUGGUGCCGUAACUUCGGGAGAAGGCACGCUGAUAUGUAGGUGAAGCGACUUGCUCGUGGAGCUGAAAUCAGUCGAAGAUACCAGCUGGCUGCAACUGUUUAUUAAAAACACAGCACUGUGCAAACACGAAAGUGGACGUAUACGGUGUGACGCCUGCCCGGUGCCGGAAGGUUAAUUGAUGGGGUCAGCGCAAGCGAAGCUCUUGAUCGAAGCCCCGGUAAACGGCGGCCGUAACUAUAACGGUCCUAAGGUAGCGAAAUUCCUUGUCGGGUAAGUUCCGACCUGCACGAAUGGCGUAAUGAUGGCCAGGCUGUCUCCACCCGAGACUCAGUGAAAUUGAACUCGCUGUGAAGAUGCAGUGUACCCGCGGCAAGACGGAAAGACCCCGUGAACCUUUACUAUAGCUUGACACUGAACAUUGAGCCUUGAUGUGUAGGAUAGGUGGGAGGCUUUGAAGUGUGGACGCCAGUCUGCAUGGAGCCGACCUUGAAAUACCACCCUUUAAUGUUUGAUGUUCUAACGUUGACCCGUAAUCCGGGUUGCGGACAGUGUCUGGUGGGUAGUUUGACUGGGGCGGUCUCCUCCUAAAGAGUAACGGAGGAGCACGAAGGUUGGCUAAUCCUGGUCGGACAUCAGGAGGUUAGUGCAAUGGCAUAAGCCAGCUUGACUGCGAGCGUGACGGCGCGAGCAGGUGCGAAAGCAGGUCAUAGUGAUCCGGUGGUUCUGAAUGGAAGGGCCAUCGCUCAACGGAUAAAAGGUACUCCGGGGAUAACAGGCUGAUACCGCCCAAGAGUUCAUAUCGACGGCGGUGUUUGGCACCUCGAUGUCGGCUCAUCACAUCCUGGGGCUGAAGUAGGUCCCAAGGGUAUGGCUGUUCGCCAUUUAAAGUGGUACGCGAGCUGGGUUUAGAACGUCGUGAGACAGUUCGGUCCCUAUCUGCCGUGGGCGCUGGAGAACUGAGGGGGGCUGCUCCUAGUACGAGAGGACCGGAGUGGACGCAUCACUGGUGUUCGGGUUGUCAUGCCAAUGGCACUGCCCGGUAGCUAAAUGCGGAAGAGAUAAGUGCUGAAAGCAUCUAAGCACGAAACUUGCCCCGAGAUGAGUUCUCCCUGACUCCUUGAGAGUCCUGAAGGAACGUUGAAGACGACGACGUUGAUAGGCCGGGUGUGUAAGCGCAGCGAUGCGUUGAGCUAACCGGUACUAAUGAACCGUGAGGCUUAACCUU